rnacentral:rRNA from 1 species
CUGCAGAUAGUCAUGGUGAAAAAUUUCAGUGUAACAGAUAGCGAACAAAUACCACGAGGGGAAGAUGAAAAGGAAUUUAAAAAGAGAGUUAAAGAGUGCUUGAAAUUGUCGGGAGGGAAGCGGAUGGAGGCUAUCGAUGCGUCUUAGUCAGAUGUGGAAUGGCUCAGGCUGGCCCACUGAUCGACUUGAGGUGUAAACCAACACAAGCUACUGCAUCAUCACAAGCACGGGUGGAUUACUGCCUAUCGAUUUUCCAUUACAGUGGUCGAGGAAUGAAGCGUGCACCCUUGUGGUGGACCGUGUGCACCUGUGGGGUCGUGGUGUUGGUUGGCGGGCUUUCCAUUUGACCCAUCUUGAAACACAGACCAAGGAGUUGAACAUGUGUGCGAGUCAGCGAGUUUGAAAACUUACAAGGCGCAAGGAAGCUGGCGGGAAAGAUCCCCUCUCUAGGGGGGUGCAUCGUCGAUCGACCUUGAGCUUAUGCGAAGGGUUCGAGUGCGAGCACACCUGUUGGGACUUGAAAUAUGGUGAACUAUGCCUGAGCAAGGUGAAGCGAGAGGAAACUCUGGUGGAGGAUUUUAGCGAUACUAACUUGCAAAUCAUUCAUCUGACUUGGGUAUAGUGGCGAAAGACUAAUCGAACCAUCUAGUAGCUAGUUUCCUCUGAAGUUUCCCUUAAGAUAGAUGGAGCUCAUGCACAAGUUUUAUCGAGUAAAGAAAAUGAUUGGAGGAAUUGGGGGCAUAACACCCUCGACCUAUUCUCAAACUUUAAAUAUGUAAGAGGGUGUGGCUGAUCCAUUGAGCCACGCCAUGGAAUCGAGAGCUCCAAGUGGGCCAUUUUUGGUAAGAAGAACUGGCAAUGUAGGAUGAACUGAAAGUCAAGUAACUAUGCCAAAUUGCAUGCUAACCUAGAUCCCACAAAGGGUGUUGGUUGAUUAAGAUAGCAGGACGGUGGUCAUGGAAGUCGACAUCCGCUAAGGGGUGUGUAACAACUCACAUGCCGAAUCAAAUAGCCCCGAAAAUGGAUGGCGCUGAAGCAUGCAACCUAUACUCAACCAUCAGAGCAAUUGCCUAGCUUCUAUGAGUAGGAGGACACAGGGGUCGUUGAGAAACCUCAGGUGUGAGCUUGGGUGGAUCGGUAUUCGGUGCAGAUCUUCGUGGUAGUAGCAAAUAUUCAAAUGAGAACUUUGAAGACUGAAGUGGGGAAAGGUUCCAUGUGAACAACACUUGGACAUGGGUUUGUCGAUCCUAAGAGAUGGGAAAGCCUUGUAUGAAGGGUGCACUCUGCAUGAGCAUCGAAAGGGAAUCAAGUUAAUAUUCCCAAACUGGGAUAUGGUGGCGGGCGACAACAUUAGGAAAUCUAGAGACGUCGUUGGGGGUCUCGGGAAGAGUUAUAUUUUCUUUUUAACAACUUUCCCACCCUAGAAUCGGUUCACUUGGAGAUAGGGUCCAGCAACUGGAAGAGCAUUGCACAUCUUGCAGUGUUCAGUGUGCCCUCGGUGGCCCUUGAAAAUCUGGAGGACUGAGUACUGUUCAUGACCGGUCGUACUCAUAACCACAUCAGGUCUCCAAGGUGAACAACCUCUGGUCAAUAGAACAAUGUAGGUAAGGGAAGUCAGCAAAACAGAUCCGUAACUUUCGGGAAAAGGAUUGGCUCUGAGGGCUGGGCAUAGGGAUCUGUGCCCUCAACUUGUGGGCUAUUGGUAGUCUGCCCGAGCUACUCUCACGGUGAGGGAGAGCAUUCACUUGCCGAUGGGGCUACAGGCGUAGAAUGUCCCUACUGGGGGCUUUUCCCUAGGCAUCAAAUAGUCGACUCAAAACUGGUAUGGACAAGGGGAAUCUAACUAUUUAAUUAAAACAAAGCAUUGUGAUUGUCCCUACGAAUGCUUACGCAAUGCGAUUUCUGCCUAGUGCUCUGAAUGUCAAAGUGAAGAAAUUCAACAAGGUGCGGGUAAAUGCUGGGAGUAACUAUGACUCUCUUAAGGUAGCCAAAUGCCUCAUCAUCUAAUUAGUGAUGUGCAUGAAUGGAUUAAUGCGAUUCCCACUGUCCCUAUAUACUAUCUAGAGAAACCACAGCCAAGGGAAUGGACUUGGUAGAAUCAACGGGGAAAGAAGACCUUGUUGAGCUUGACUCCAUUCUGACUUUGUGAAAUGACUUGAGAGGUGUAGAAUAAGUGGGAGCCAUUUUCGGUGCAAGUGAAAUACCACUACUUUUAACAUUAUUUUACUUAUUUCUUAGGGUGGAGAUGGGGCACUGCCCCUAUUUUUUGCCUUAAGUUACGUUUCGGCAGGUCGAUUCGGGCAGAAGACAUUUUCAGGUGGGGAGUUUGGCUGGGGCGGCACAUCUGUUACUCUUUGACUGUCACUCUUUGACUGUAUCUCAACCUAUAGUAGGGGCAUUGAUUUGUCGCCCCCAGGGGCCUGUGUCAUUUACAAACUGUGACUAUGAAGCAUCUCAGUUGGGGCAACUUUGAAGUUAAAUUCCAAAUAGUUGUUGAGAAGAAUCCUUUACAUACAACUUAAAUAUGUGAUGGGGUAUUGUAAGUGGUAGAGUGGCCUUGCUGCCACGAUCCACUGAGAUUCAACCCUUGGUUGCCUUGAUUUAGAGCUUCGCUCUUGUCACAAACAAAUUUGGAUAACCCUCCCGCUCUCAUG